UCGCUACUACCGAUUGAAUGGCUUAGUGAGCUCUCUGGAGUGGGACACUUUUCGGGCAACCGAAGGGAGUCUUCGCGAAGGAGAUCAAACUUGAUCAUUUAGAGGAAGUAA
rnacentral:rRNA from 1 species